rnacentral:rRNA from 1 species
GACGUAGGGCGCGAGCGUUGUCCGGAUUUAUUGGGCGUAAAGAGCUCGUAGGCGGUGUGUCGCGUCGGCCGUGAAAACCUGCAGCUUAACUGUGGGCUUGCGGUCGAUACGGGCAUCACUGGAGUUCGGCAGGGGAGACUGGAAUUCCUGGUGUAGCGGUGAAAUGCGCAGAUAUCGGGAGGAACACCAGUAGCGAAGGCGGGUCUCUGGGCCGAUACUGACGCUGAGGAGCGAAAGCGUGGGGAGCGAACAGG